GCAAGCCUGAUCCAGCCAUGCCGCGUGUGUGAAGAAGGCCUUCGGGUUGUAAAGCACUUUCAGUGGGGAAGAAAGCCUUGGGGUUAAUUCCCGGGAGGAAGGACAUCACCCACAGAAGAAGCCCCGGGUAAAUUUGUGCCAGCAGCCGCGGUAAUACGGAGGGUGGGAGGGUUAAUUGGAAUUAAUGGGGGUAAAGGGGGGGUUGGGGGUUUGAUAAGCCGGUUGUGAAAGCCCCGGGGUCAACCUGGGAACGGCAUCCGGAAAUGUCAGGUUUGAGUGCAGGAGAGGAAGGUAGAAUUCCCGGUGUAGCGGUGAAAUGUGUAGAGAUNGGGAGGAAUCCCAGUGGGGAAGGGGGCCUUCUGGAUUGACAUUGACGGUGAGGUGGGAAAGGGUGGGUAGCAAACAGGAUUAGAUACCCUGGUAGUUCACGCCGUAAAAGAUGUAGACUAGCCGUUGGGGUCUUUGAGACCUUUGUGGCGCAGUUAACGCGAUAAGUCGNCCG
rnacentral:rRNA from 1 species